rnacentral:rRNA from 1 species
UACGGAGAGUGCAAGCGUUGUUCGGAAUUACUGGGCUUAAAGCGCGUGUAGGCGGGGUAUCAGGUGCUUCGUGAAAGCCCCGGGCUCAACCCGGGAAUUGCGGUGCAAACCGAUAUUCUUGAGGCAGGUAGAGGUGACUGGAACAACUGGUGGAGCGGUGAAAUGCGUAGAUAUCAGUUGGAACGCCGGCGGCGAAAGCGAGUCACUGGGCCUGUCCUGACGCUGAGACGCGAAAGCGUGGGGAGCGAACGGG